GAAGUAUGGUCAGAUUUUCUGAUGCUCAGCUUACUGAAAUCGCAUUAGCCCUCGAAGCCUCCAACACUCGGUUCAUUUGGGUAGUUCGCAAGAUUGUUGAAAAUCAAGAAACAUGGUUGCCUUCAGGGUUUGAAGAAAGAAUUUUGAAAAAUAACAAGGGUUUGAUAGUCCGAGACUGGGUUCCACAGGUGAAAAUUCUGGAUCAUCCAUCUACAGGAGGGUUCCUGACUCACUGCGGCUGGAACUCAGUUUUGGAAGCAGUUGUGGCUGGAGUGCCACUUGUGACAUGGCCUUUAUUUGCUGAGCAAUUUUACAAUGAGAAGCUUGUUGAGCUUCUUAAGGUUGGUGUAAGAGUAGGUGCUGAUGUUUGGAACUCAGGAUUUGAAAUCAAGAGUCCUCUUCUGGGAAGAGACAUGAUACAGAAUGCAUUGUCAAGAUUAAUGGAUGGUUCUGAAGAGUCUGCGAUGAUCAGACGGCGAGCAAAGGAGAUUGGAGUCCAGGCUAGAGGGGCAGUCAUGGAGGGAGGGUCAUCAUUUAAUCAAUUAUCGGGUCUAAUUGAAGAGAUUAAUGCUUUUAGUUAGAUUAAGGCAACAAAGAUAACAUAGGAUGCUUAGAGCAUCUCCAAUAGGCUCUUCAAAUAAGCUCUUAAGUCAAAAAUUAAAGAGCAUGGCUCAAAAUCAAGCUCCAACAGACUCUUAUAGGCUCUUUAAAACUCCAAGAACUUCUUCUAUCUCCUUACUUGUAAGAGCGAUUAAUAGUAGCUCUUAACUUAUAUUUAAUUAACAAAAUUUUCAUGUUCACCAAUCAUUGCACAAUCUUUGGUCAUUGUGGAAUUUGUUUAUUAGUAAACUAGAGAGGAAAACACGCCCCGUUCAAUUGAAAAGUUUUUUGUUAUAUAUAUUUAAGAUAUACUUUAUUUAAUGUUUAAAAAUCUAAUAAAGAAAACUUAUCAAAAGGUUGAUAUUUAGAUGACAGAGUAGAACUACACAGCUGAAGAAGGCCAAAAACAAACUCACUUCCUGCUGAACCACAUCAUCACAUAGGUGAAGAAGACUGCCCUUUCCACUAUCAAGCUGUUUGUCAUACAUUGAUUUUGUUAUCAGGUUCUGGUAUGCAGCCAUAUUUGCCUGGAACCUACAGCGAUAAACUGGACAAUUAGACAUUGCAAGAUUAGUACAAGUAACCUGGAUGAAACUAAGAAAUAAUAUGAUUUGGUACUUCUUUAACAAAGCACAUCUUGCAACCAUGUUACAUCUUAAAUCUUUAAGUAGCUCCAUUAUCUUAUUAUAUUGCCGUCCUUUCAAAAAGGCAAUUUAAUUAUGUCAUGUAAUCAUUAGACUUAAGGCUGUAAGGAGUUUAGUUCUUUCUGGACUUAAUGAUUUGAUAAAAACUUGUUUGUGGUCUAUUCAAAAAUCAAACAAACUAUAGUCAAGCUCCAACCUACAAAUGAUCCGGACUUGAACAUGGAGUAGUUUGGUUAUUUGAACUUGUGACCAACCUAAUAGAUGUUAGGGAACAAUAACAAACCUAGAAAGAAUUUAAUAUAUGAAAGCAUACAGUGACCUCUGGCUUGUGAAACUACAUUAAGUAUUCACAAACAUGAUAAUCGAGCUUAUAUUGAGAUGAACUCGAUAAAAUUUGUUAAAAACUAAAAACUGAUCUUCAAGAAUCGGAACUUUAAAACUAUAUAUUUUUGGGAAAAAACAUUUUUCAAUUUCGAAUAAAACUUGAGCCCAGCAAUGUCUUGAUUAAUUGACGUCAAGCUCUGUGAUAUUCAGGCACAACUCAAUUCAUUUUACAAUCCCAACUGCAGUGAAGAAGCUAGAUAUAGACAUAAACUUUGUAUAGACAGCUCGACACUUAACUAGAACCAACCUCAACCAAUUCAAUAUCCUUGCCUGAUUGUGCGGAUGAUUGACACCAGAUACACCUAAACAAACAGCUCGAACAACUGAUUUCUUCGAUCCUGAUUUCCGAAAGGCCUCGCUCAUAACUUGUUCCAAUGUAUCUCUUGCUGCUGUUUCUGCAAGCACAAACAGUUAAACAACUCACAAGUAAAACACUCAAACAUCACAACAUCCCCUUCUUAUUUAACGCAAUCACAAGAACCUAAUAUCGAAAAAUCAACACCCCUAAGCAAGAAAUUACCGCAAUGUGAAUAUUUGAUCAACCCACACGCACACAAACACAAACAUACAAAUACAAGAUAUAUAAUUAAUGGGUUUUCUUGGAAAUACUAAAGGGUACUACCUCCGGCACUAUCGUCAUUAGAGCAGCCAGCAACUGCCUGGGUAAGAACUGGGUCGGCGAGUUGAGUGGAAAAAGGAAAACACAACUAGCAGAGGACAGAUGGAAGCAACCGAUGGAUGAUCGCAUAAUUUCAAUUGAGACAGACAAAUGGGAGAGACGAAGAAAAGAUAGUAGUCGUUGGUUUGAGCUAGACGAGAGAGGUUUACAGGCUCGAAAGGGUAUUACUUUCAGUUUAAUUGGAAUCAAAAUUAUGAGAUGAGAGGUUCACUUUUCAGGUUUGGAGGGGGUUAAUGUCAUUUUAAUUAGAAUUAAUUUGCUCAUAAUAGAUACAGAUUCUCUUUGUCCUUAAUUAAAGUCGGGUUCAAAACUCUUUCGAACACGCCAAUGAGCACAUUGAACUAUCCAUGUGUUGUCCUUGAUUAAAGUCGGAUUCAAAACUCUUUCGAAAAUGUCGAUUUGUGUAAUAAAUUAGAAGUAGACUUAAAGUUAGAAAUAAGCUUAAUUAAAGUCAGAAGUUAAUUUGAGAUACUUUUUUCGAUGAUUUAACUUUUUUUGAAUUUUUUCUGAUAAAAACUACAUUUAAAUCAUGAUUUACUUAUAAAUUAUUUUUAUUAUUUUUAUUAUAUUUUUAAUAACCCGUAAAUCAUUAAUAUAUCAAAAUUACCUGAACAAAUAUUUUAAGUUCCAAACUUAUCACAUAAAUCACUUAAGUCAUAAAUUACGUUUGUGCAGCCAAACAUGUCCAUUGCAGAGCAGAUUUACGUAUGCUACUUGAUAGUUGAUCCAGACUUCCAUUUUAAGUACCUAUUGUCUUGCAUCUCUCCUUACUAAACAACCAGAAACAAGUACAUAGGGACGAUACAUAAGUUCAAUCCCUUGGUUUUGUCACCGAAAUUAAUUAAUCACUGGUCAGGAAUGCCGUCCACAAGAACAACAGAUUCUUACACAUUAACCUAUGCACUAUUUUUUCCAGCAGCUCUUCCCCCUUGUGAAAAUUUAGUUCAUAUUUUUAUUUAGUAGUCACGGACAGUGGCUUGGCUCAUACCUUUUCAUUUGUGCAGUAGAAUCCAAUCCGAAGGCACAACACUCUCGCAUCAAGCAGAGAUCCAUGCGGAAAAAUAUAUGAUCCUGAUAAGCAUUCCUCCCUCGUCACAGUAUUUUAGAUGGAUCAGUUACUUAAUAAUAUACGAGUCGGGCACAGAGCACAGAGUCGACACCAGAGAGUGCUGGUAUGAUUUUCUGUGAGUAAAAAUAUUUUUAUUCAAACGGUAACAUCUGGUGUACCUACCGCAUUAAAAUAUUUAUCAGUAUACUUCACUCACUCUCGUGUUCACCACAAUAAGUUAAGAUUUCCAAGAUCAAUUGUCUCAAAUCUUCCCUCCCCAGGUUAACAUUAUACUAAGAGUCAUACUAAACAACCAAGGUUCUUGAGGCUCUGAUGGAAAUUCCAGAAAAUUUUCAUGUUUUAUUCCUGCCAUACCUCACUCCAAGCCACAUGAUCCCCCUGGUUGACAUGGGGAGGCUCUUUGCAGCCCGUGGUGUCACCGUGACCAUAAUAACCACUCCACACAAUGCUCUCCUGUUUCGGUCCUCCAUUGAACAAGGCCUCGAAUCAGGCCAUCACAUCGCGGUCCACGAGCUCAAUUUCCCUUCAAGAGAAGUUGGUUUGCCUGAAGGAAUAGAGAAUUUCAAUGCCAUAACAUCCAGUGAAAUGUCCAGUAAGGUCUUUUAUGGGAUCAUGCUACUCAGAAAGCCUAUGGAAGAUUUGAUCAGGAAGCUUUCGCCUAAUUGCAUUUUUUCUGAUAUGUUUUAUCCUUGGACAGCUGAUCUUGCUAGUGAGCUCGGGAUACCAAGGCUUAUGUUUUAUCCAUCAAGCUUCUUGUAUCAUUGUGUUACACAUAGUCUUGGUAUUUAUGCGCCUCAUGAUAGUGUUGAGUCCGAAACAGAGAGUUUCUUGGUUCCAAAUCUUCCUGAAAAGAUUGAGAUGAAAAGAUGUCAGCUGCAAGAGCAUGUUAAGAUUAAAACAAGGUAUGGUGAAUUGAUCAAAGCAAUUAAAGAGUCUGAGCAGAAGAGCUAUGGUUUGGUUCAUCACACUUUUUAUGAGCUUGAGCCUGCUUAUGCAGAUCAUUAUGGUGAAAUCAAGAAAAGUAAGUUCUGGCACAUUGGUCCCAUUUUUCAGUUCUUCAAAAAGGCUGAAACUGAAAGAUCUAGUGGCUCUCCAUCUGAGCAACACUUUUGUUUGAGUUGGUUAGAUUCACAAAAGUCUGAAUCUGUUGUCUUCAUAUGUUUUGGAAGUAUGGUCAGAUUCUCUGAUGCUCAGCUUACUGAGAUCGCAUUAGCCCUCGAGGCCUCCAACACUCAGUUCAUUUGGGUAGUCCGCAAAAUGAUUGAAAAUCAAGAAAAUCAAGAAACGUGGUUGCCUUCAGGGUUCGAAGAAAGAAUUUUGAAAAAUAACAAGGGGUUGAUAGUCCGAGACUGGGUUCCCCAGGUGAAAAUCCUGGAUCAUCCAUCGACAGGAGGGUUCCUGACUCACUGCGGCUGGAACUCAGUG
rnacentral:lncRNA from 1 species